GUAUGGCGCCGGCUCUGGCUCUCAUUACAAUUUCUAGACACUGGGAAUUUUUUCUUAAUUUUUUAAAAUUUUUAUUAUUAAAUUUAGCGGUGUCCGAAUAUUUCUGGAAAAUCGGUGCCUCUUUUGCAUGGUCUAUAGCGAUUUCCAGCCUCUGGUCAGCUCUCCUUGGUUCUGUUCUGGAGGUUGGUAGUUCAAUUUGAGAUCUGCCCACUUGAGUUGGAAUCUUUCUUUCCCUUCUUGAUACCAAAACCUGACUCUGUCUGGUUUAGAAGGGAAAGAAAGAUAAAAUUUUGAGGGAGAAUCAAUCUUUUUUUUUCUUGGUCGAUUUGCGAAUAUUUGGAUUUUGGAAUCUGGAAAUGAGCGUUAUUUCUGGUGUUAUUUCGCGGCAAGUAUUGCCUGCAUGCGGUAGCCUUUGUUUCUUUUGCCCUGCUAUGAGGGCAAGGUCCAGACAGCCAAUCAAGAGGUACAAGAAGCUCAUUGCUAGUAUUUUUCCUCGAAACCAGGGUGAUGGGCCAAAUGAUCGUAUGGUUGGAAAACUAUGCGAAUAUGCUGCUAAAAAUCCUUUGCAUAUGCUGAAGAUCGCAAAUUCUCUUGAACAAAGGUGUUAUAAGGAACUGAGAAACGAGAACUUUCAAUCUGCAAAGAUUGUGAUGUGCAUUUACAAGAAAUUGUUGGUCUGUUGUAAGGAGCAAAUGCCUCUGUUUGCAAGUAGCUUACUGAGCAUUAUGCAUAUUCUAUUGGAUCAAACUCAACAAGAUGAACUACAAAUUAUAGGUUGUGAGACUCUUUUUGACUUUGUAAAUAAUCAGGUUAGUGCUAUCAGUGACAACUUUAAGUUAUUAUGUUCAGCUUCAGGUACAAUAUAUUAAGCUUCUGGUUUCUCACCAUGGGAAACUUCAAACUCAUUUCAUCUAAAUGAAUUUUUACAGAAGGAUGGAGCUUAUGUGUUCAAUUUAGAAGGCUUUAUUCCUAAACUGUGUCAAUUAGGUCAAGAGGUGGGAGAAGAAGAAAGGGCACAAGGUCUACGUUCAGCAGCACUGCAAGCCCUUUCUUCCAUGGUUUGGUUUAUGGGUGAACACUCACAUAUUUCAUUGGAGUUUGACAAUAUUGUUUCAGUUGUCUUGGAAAAUUAUGGAGAUCCUACAAAAAUAUCAGAGAACCUUGACACUAACAAGCAAGGUGCUCAGGAUAGGUGGGUUCAAGAAGUCCGCAAAAAUGAGGGUCAUGUGAUUCAUGUCAUUCCAUCAGAAGUCAUUAGAAGGGUUCCUUCUUGGAGAACACUUGUAAAUGAAAAAGGAGUAAAUGUGAAAGUGUAAUCUCGACACAAGAUUCUUUAGAUGAAAGUGUAAUUUGUCAUUUCCUUUCAGACAUUGAUCAUCAUUGUUUUUUAUUUUUAUUUAUUAUUUU
rnacentral:misc_RNA from 1 species